GGAGUGCAGUGGUGCAAUCCCAGCUCACUGCAACCUCCGCCUCUCAGGUUCAAGUGAUUCUCCUACUUCACCCUCCCAAGUAGCUAGGAUUACAGGCACAUGCCACCAUGCCAGGCAGCUCUGAAUUUCCUUUGUUUGUUUGCUUUCUGAGUUGGGGUCCUCGUUCUGUCACCUAGGCUGGAGCGGACUGGUGCGUUCAUAGCUCACUGCAACUUAAAACUCCUGAGCUCAAGCCAUCCUCCACCUCAGCCUCCUGAUUAGCAGGGACUACAGGUGUGCACCACCAUGCUGGGCCAGCUCCAGAUUUCUUAUGCUCCGCAGGCUGGAGAAGUUAUGGAAGGGAUAUUCUGCAAGAUGAGGACAACUGAUUAUCAGAAGAAGGAAUGAGAACAUGAUCCUGCUUCUCUAGGUGGAUGAAACACAAACAAGAAAGGCAACGUCAGCAUGAACAUGGAGGAGGACGUCUUCGAGGGAGAGCUGGCAGGGCAAGUUCAAGAAAGAGAACCAUUCCGUGAAAGAGCACUUCUUCUACCAGCAGGUCUAGCACAGACCCGAUGUGUAUCCUGUAGCCUCAAGCUGUCCAGAAAGCUGCCAUCAGCCCUCCCUGAUGUGGGGUGCCGGCUGUCCGGGCUGAGCCACCAAUGCACAAGACACACCCUGGCCCAAAGUGCAUCACUAAGAGCCUCUCACAUUCUUCUGCUUCAAACAGGACCCAGGAGUACCGACUGAGGCAUUCGCCACCUUUAUUUACAGAACAGAUUUUGUCCAGCUUAGGAGUCAUCAGAUAAAGGAAGAAAACAUCUCAUUACAAAGUAGAAUUUCCCUGGAGACUCUCGGUCCCCAUAAAGGUGGUGGUCCUAGGGGGCAACAGAGACAAACUUCAGCAUCAGCAUUUUGACCUCCUUAGGAAAGCUGCUUGAGAGAGUCCAUACUCAGGUAUAAAACUUUCAAGGACAAAUUUAAGGAAAAUGGAAAACUAUUUCUACUUGUGGCUUCCUUACCAAGAACUUUCUCCUUUACAAGAAAAUGACUGCAUUCUGAUGGGAUCUGUGUGUUAAUAGUGAGACAAAAGUAUAAUCACCAUUUUUCAGAGACCCCUGUGGACUUUGACAAUGAGGUGCCAUGGGAGAUGGGCUAUUUUUCUCACAGUAGAGUCCCAAUAGGUGCUUUAUUUUGAAAUGUUCUGCUUACUAUUUUUAAUUAAAAAUACUGUUUACUUUCCUAUUACUACCUUUUUUGUGUUGAAUUUGGAAAAAAAAUACAAUAGACUCAAAGAAGAAAAUCAAAUCACC
rnacentral:lncRNA from 10 species